UACAGAGGUCUCAAGCGUUGUUCGGAUUCAUUGGGCGUAAAGGGUGCGUAGGCGGCGCGGUAAGUCGGGUGUGAAAUCUCGGAGCUUAACUCCGAAACUGCAUUCGAUACUGCCGUGCUUGAGGACUGGAGAGGAGACUGGAAUUUACGGUGUAGCGGUGAAAUGCGUAGAUAUCGAGAGGAACACCUGCGGCGAAGGCGGGUUGCUGGGCCGGAACUGACGCUGAGGAGCGAAAGCGUGGGGAGCAAACGGG
rnacentral:rRNA from 1 species